UUCUUGUCAUUUAACACAUAAGCGGAGGAAAAGAAACCAACUGGGAUUACCUUAGUAACGGCGAGUGAAGCGGUAAAAGCUCAAAUUUGAAAUCUGGUACUUUCAGUGCCCGAGUUGUAAUUUGUAGAAUUUGUCUUUGAUUAGGUCCUUGUCUAUGUUCCUUGGAACAGGACGUCAUAGAGGGUGAGAAUCCCGUUUGGCGAGGAUACCUUUUCUCUGUAAGACUUUUUCGAAGAGUCGAGUUGUUUGGGAAUGCAGCUCAAAGUGGGUGGUAAAUUCCAUCUAAAGCUAAAUAUUGGCGAGAGACCGAUAGCGAACAAGUACAGUGAUGGAAAGAUGAAAAGAACUUUGAAAAGAGAGUGAAAAAGUACGUGAAAUUGUUGAAAGGGAAGGGCAUUUGAUCAGACAUGGUGUUUUUUGCAUGCACUCGCCUCUCGUGGGCUUGGGCCUCUCAAAAAUUUCACUGGGCCAACAUCAAUUCUGGCAGCAGGAUAAAUCAUUAAGAAUGUAGCUACUUCGGUAGUGUUAUAGCUUUUUGGAAUACUGUUAGCCGGGAUUGAGGACUGCGCUUCGGCAAGGAUGUUGGCAUAAUGGUUAAAUGCCGCCCGUCUUGAACAACGGAACACACAACA
rnacentral:rRNA from 1 species